UUGGGGCCUGGAUAGUGGUUGGGGUCAGGGCCUGGGCCAUGGAGCUUGCAGAGGCAAGGAUGAAGAUGAGGAAUGGAUGCCUGUCACCAAGUUGGGCUACCUGGUCAAGGACAUGAAGAUCAAGUCCCUGGAGGAAAUCUAGCCCUUCUCCUUGACCAUCGAGGAGUCUGAGAUCAUUGACUUUUUCCUGGGGGCAUCUCUCAAGGAUGAGGUUUUGAAGACCACGCCCGUGCAAAAGCAGACCUGCGCUGACCAGCAUACCAGGUUCAAGAGACAGGGUUUUGCCAUGUUGCCCAGGCUGGUCUGGGACUCGGGCUCAAGUGAUCCGUAUGCCUCGGCCUCCCAAAGUGCUAAGAUUACAGGUGUGAGCCACUGCCCCGGUCAACGGAGUUUUUACACAAGAAAAAAUAAAAUGAAUUAAGC
rnacentral:lncRNA from 1 species